GGCUCGGUAGUGUUUGGAACACAUCUGCAUUCUAUUAUCAGCUGUAGCGACUUGUGCGGAUUUCAAUUGCCUGUUCGAAUCAGGCCCGAGCCG